rnacentral:tRNA from 1 species
AUUGUGGCUCAGUUGGUAGAGCAGCUGAUUCGUAAUCAGCAGGUCGCCGGUUCGAGUCCGGCCAA